rnacentral:lncRNA from 1 species
AUUUGUUUUCAAUAAUCUGUGGCAAUUAAUGCUAACAAUUCCAUAUUCAUCUAUUUUAAUUCCUUUUUCUCUAUCAUAUACAUCAUACCAAUUAUAUCGAAACAAUGCUACUCGAUGACCUCCAACAUAUUGUAAUUCAAUGACCUUCGUCAAGAGCCCAUAGUAAUCUCGUUUUCCAGUUUCUGCACCAGUAUCACCAACAACAACCACCCCACAAUUUUGUAUCUUUAAGCUUUUGUCACGAUCUUCUAUCCGAAACCUAUAUCCAUUUAUUAGAUAACCAUUAUAGCAUGUGACAUAUUUAGUAGGGCCACGUGACAAAGAAAGCAUGUGUUCCAUGAUCAAGCUUUUGUCUUGCUUAUAUAAAUGCGCUACCUACAAGGCGAAUAAUAAAUUAAACAUAUUGCGUUCUACAUAUAUUGCAAAUAUUGAUCGACAAAAAUUUCUAAUUAAAAGUGA